UGCGGAAAGCCGUCUUGGCCUGGGGAGUUUGCCCUUGGAAAAGUGAAAGCAAGCUGUUAUUUUCUCCUCCCCAACUGACAUUCCUGGCCCUCGACAUCAUGAGGUCACUGGUUCGACUGGAAGAGUGUGCGCUAAGGUCGCACAUGGAUAGUCUCACACACAGCGAGCUUGUGACCUCUCUUGGUGGAUGGAACCCCAAUCCUUUCCCAGAAAGGAAGCUCGACCGUCCAUCUCUAUGAAUCAGGAGCAGCCGUCAACAGAUGGGAGAGAGGAUGGCUUCAGUUGAAUAGAGAUUUUGCUGUCAGCCCAACAGCUUUUAUAGCACCCACACCAAGGAAAAUCUGCAGUGCUGGAACGACCUGUCUGGCUGUGAUCGCAGACAGCCUCAUGAAAUCUCAGCCUCUCCACUGCUGCUUUCAGGAGUUCUUUCUGAUGUUUUCUGCAUACGUGAGAAGUCUGAAAACCACUGGGAGAGUGCCCUGGUCCUAUUUAAAAGAAGAACCUAAGACAAAUUCUUAGGGUAUCCUUCUCUGGCACAGUGUUCUCCCCUCUUGCCCAUGGGUGCACAUGGACAUGUUCUUCAGCUUCCUUUUUCUAGAUCCCAUGUUGUGUACCAGUCUUUUGUAGACUAGCCUUUCACCAUACAAGUGCAAUGUAAUUCCAAAUAAUUGCAAAUGACACUUCCUUGAUGGGACUUACAUAUUUCCUAAGACUCCUUUAGCAUACAUUUACAAACCAUGUAAAAAAUGAGUUAUUUCUGGUCAUGAGCAAAUCCAUGCAUUUUGUAUUGAUUUUCACUAGGUUUUCUAAGGGUAUCACCCUUCCUGGUUUUAUCAGUAAUUUGGUUUCAUCUGUCACUAUCCUUGAUGGCCUCACUAGCCCUCAAAGAAAUGCUAGUUUAAUGCCAAAGAUGUAAAACAUUUAUAAUAUUUGGAGCUGUAGAUAUUUUAUCUUUUCAAUGACAAAGUCUUCAGUUUAUCAUUAGUUAUGUUGUAUUUGAAGAACACUAUAUUGUUUAUGAUUCGUUUUCACAGCCAGGCCUUUUUUCUAUCUGAUUUUGUUUCAGGGUACAAGGAAAAUGGAGGAUUAGCUAGACCAAUCCUUUCAUUCCCUCCAUCAGAAAGUGCACCUGCUCUUGGGUUAGACAGUGACACCCUCACCCCCAUCAUAGCUCCUUGCCCAGAUAGCUGAGGAAAAAGUUUUAGAUGGCAUCUUUAAAUCAUUUUUGGGUAUCUCUGGAGAAAAAAGAAAUAUUUAUAUAUUGAUCUUGCAAUUUAUCUCUCAAGUGGAAAUCUUAUCUUUCCAAUUUUCCGAUUAUUCUAGGGCAUCUCUUAGGAGCUCCUACAUACUCAAGACAUGAGCCAAUAUGUCAAUUUAGUAGUUUAUGAUGUGUUUAGUCCUCCUCAGGGACUUGUCCUUUGUCCCCUUCUCAGAGCUGAGUGCAUGGAUGGCAGAAUCAAGUAUCAGGAAUGUGUAGGAAUUAGGGAAAAAGGGCUUGAAUUCAGGCUUAGAGAGCUAUUUGGCCUAAGCUUUGGAAAAACCUGAUGAAACACUACUGAGCUGCCAAUAUACCUGUCCCAUGGAAAGCCCCUGAGAAGAUUCAGUUCAGAAGGCCCGUGAAGAAGGUUCAUUAGUCUUAGAAAUGUACAGAAAGGACAGUCAGAAGGGUGAUCACACAGACUGUGCGCAUUGACGCACUCUGAAGGAGAAGAGAGCCAUAACUAGGGACGGAGGACUUCCCAGUUUCGAAAAAUCUGCAGUGUAGAAAUAGCUGUCACUAGACUCUAUUUUUACCAUUGUUGGUAACACUAUUCCUCUUAUCACAUGAUGCCUCAGGCUGUUUUAACUCAAUUCUGUCAAUGUUCAUUGAUUUAUACCUCUUGUUCUGAUUCCAGAGCACCAAACACCCUUCAUGGCUAUUUUUUUCCCCCAUAAGAUUUCAGGUAGAGAUCACAUGAAAUGCCAGCAUCCUGUUUCUUAUGACAAUAGUUUCUUGAAAUGGACCCACAAAGUGGCUCCUGAUUAUGCUAUAUCUUCUCAGAUGGCCUGAGGACAGGGAGAGAAUCGCUCUCAUGAUUGCUUAUUUCCUGGUAUUCAGGGUAUUCCAAAUAAACCAGGUGCUCUCCAGGACACCCUGGCACAUCUGCCUUCUGGCUGACAUCACCCCUCGACACAACGACGAGCAAGUUUCUGGGAUUCCAAAGCAGAGUGUAUAACAGAAUCACCUCCUUGAAGUACCAGCCUGUGGGCACUGUCCAUCCUGGGUGCCACCUGACCUUGCCCCCUAUUCUUUUUCACCUGUGCCACACAUUGCGCCUCAAUCUCUCAUCCAUUUGGUUGAUCUUAGUAAAUCCCUGAGAGUCCAGUUUGUUCUAGAACAAAGAUAAAAUGUAUUUAUUUCUUUAUUUUUGACUUCUAGGAGCAUAUCCUGGGAGGAGGACACCCCUCAGAACAGGAGGCAAGGGGCUGAACUAGAUGGCUCUUCUCCAGCCUCCUUGCUAGCUCUAUUGCCUUGAACUUGAACUGAUAUAUGGGGCAAAUGAAAAAAAUUAGAGGACAUAUUUUCUGGGACACAUAUAGCAAUAGAUGUAGUUGCUAUUUUGUUUGCUGAAACAUGGUACAAAAUCAAAAUAGAUCUUCAAUUAAUUUACAGUGAAUAGUUUUCUUAAUCAUAAACUAUCUGGUAAGAUGAAUGGAUAAAGAAGAUGUGGUACAUAUGCACAGUGGAAUACUAUUCAACCAUAAGAAAGAAACAAAUCCUACCAUUUGCAACAACAUGGAUGGAGCUGGAGGACAUUAUGCUCAGU